rnacentral:rRNA from 1 species
UGGGGAAUAUUGGACAAUGGGCGAAAGCCUGACCCAGCAACGCCGCGUGAAGGAUGAAGUAUUUCGGUAUGUAAACUUCGAAAGAAUAGGAAGAAUAAAUGACGGUACUAUUUAUAAGGUCCGGCUAACUACGUGCCAGCAGCCGCGGUAAUACGUAGGGACCAAGCGUUGUUCGGAUUUACUGGGCGUAAAGGGCGCGUAGGCGGCAAUUCAAGUCAUCUGUGAAAUCUCCGGGCUUAACUCGGAACGGUCAGAUGAUACUGCUUUGCUAGAGUGCAGAAGGGGCAAUCGGAAUUCUUGGUGUAGCGGUGAAAUGCGUAGAUAUCAAGAGGAACACCUGAGGUGAAGACGGGUUGCUGGGCUGACACUGACGCUGAGGCGCGAAAGCCAGGGGAG